AACGAACGCUGGCGGCAUGCCUAACACAUGCAAGUCGAACGAGACCUUCGGGUCUUGUUGCGCACGGGGGCGUAACGCGGGGGAAGCUGCCCGUAGGUACGGAAUAACUCUCCGACAGGGGUGCUAUUGCCGGAAAAGGUCUUCUGACCAAAGAUUUAUUGACUUUGGAUGUGCCCGCGUGGGAUGCGCUAGUUGGUAUGCUAAAAGCCCAUCAAGGCGAAGAUCCAUAUCUGGGAUGAGAGGCUGACCAGCCACACUGGGACUGAGACACGGCCGAGACUCUUACGGGAGGCAGGAAUGGGGAAUAUUGGAAAACGGGCGAAAGAAUGAUGCAGUAAGGCCGCGAAAGUGAUGAAGGCCUGAGGGUUGAAAAGCUCAUUUACCCGGGAUGAUAAUGACGGUACCUGAAGAAUAAGCGACGGCUAACUACGUG
rnacentral:rRNA from 1 species